UACGUAGGGGGGCAAGCGUUGUCCGGAUUUAUUGGGCGUAAAGAGCGUGUAGGCGGCCUUACAGGUCAGCUGUGAAAACUCGAGGCUCAACCUCGAGACGUCGGUUGAAACCAUCUGGCUAGAGUCCGGAAGAGGAGAGUGGAAUUCCUGGUGUAGCGGUGAAAUGCGCAGAUAUCAGGAAGAACACCCGUGGCGAAGGCGGGUCUCGUGGGCCGUAACUGACGCUGGAGGAGCGGAAAGCAUGGGGAGCGAACAGG
rnacentral:rRNA from 1 species